rfam:Niabella soli DSM 19437, complete genome.
GGUCCCGUGGCCGAGUGAUCAGGCAGAGCUCUGCAAAAGCUUCCACAGCGGUUUGAAUCCGCUCGGGACCU